AUUAGUCAGAGGAGGUUGGACACGCGUCAUAAUGUAGUGUGCAUGGUGUGCAUGGAGAGACUUGCAGAGAACAGUAGCUAUUCAGCCAAGUCAAAAGACUGCAAGCGAUUUUAGCACUCCAUACUAGUAAUAAAUGAUGCUAAAAAUACCCAGUGAAACUAGAAACUGAGUAGGCAUAGUCAUACUAGAAGCAUAAACUUAGAUUGGUCAUAAACAUCGAGUUGUUGCUUUUGUUUUUGUUUUUAUUCCUGUCUUGAUGUAGCAGUUAAACUACUACGACUCAUUAACUAACAGGAGAUAUAAUACAAGAGAGAUAGACAAAUAAGAAUGGAAGAGUUAGGUAAAAUACUGACUCAGCAGGACCGAUUUUAAGCGUAUUCAUGGGACUAUUGAUGACUAUUUUAACAAGGACUUACUAUUGAUGACAAUUAACAAGGACGCCCUUGUUAUUAAUGACUAAUGGAUGACUACGGAUGACGCGUGUCCAGCCUCCUCUGCCUAUUAGUCUAGUCUCAUGCUACAGUAGAACCUCGAUUAUCUGGACACCUUGGUUCCAGAAGCAGGCCAGAUAAGUGAAUAUGCCGGAUAAUCAAAUAGAUAAACCACGCCUUGAUCCACCCACUUUAUUGAUAAACAGCAGUGCCACGUGUUGUCUGCGCAUGCGCAGAAGAUAAGCAGGCAUGUCUCCAUGGUAACAGCUGUAACGCGCACGCGCAUUUUAGGGAUACGCUUAUUUUAUGAUCUGAUAAAAGAAAACUGCCAAGCCGGAUAAUCGAGGUUCCGGAUAAUGGAGGGCCGGAUAACCUGUAUUAAUUAUUACCCAUGCAUUAUUACCCAUUAGUCUAACCUAUUAGUCUCAAUAAAAAUCAUCAACGAGACUUAUACUGCAACAUAACAGACGCUUCUAGUCAACUGAUCUGGUAGCUCUACUACUCUGCGCACUUAAGGCCCGGGUCCAGAUUUUAACACCAAAAUUUACACUAUGUUCAUACUGCUGUAUUAUUUGCAAUAUACAGUGUAUGCUGCAUCAAAAUGAUCCAAAAUGAAGCUCAAUGUUUUCUUUUUCCAAAAAACUAAUUAGCUUAAUUCAAUUAUGCUAAUUAGUCCCAUAAAUGAUGAUGACGUCAUGCCACUUUCAGAAAGAGAAGUGCAAAUACGGCGUUGAAGAUGCCAAGAUCAAGCUUCAAAAACAAGGCUAGAUGAACAUCUCAUAGCUAGGUACUAGCAUCCUUGAUGGGAAGAGUAGGAGUUAUUGUAUUCUUGAGAUACACAAAAUAGCCUACCUCUAGGGUGGCUGUCAGAGCUAAAGAAGCUAGCAUAGCUAGCUAAGAAAGUUUUGGACAUUUUUACUUCCCAUCAAGGAAACAUAAUCAUAACAACAUAAUCUAUCUUUUGAGGGCCUAAACAGCUACUCUUACCUUGUUUAAGUCCACCGUAUUUGUUGCCAAAGAUAAUCUAUAAUAGUUCUAGCAGCUAGCUAAGCAAAUACAUUGACCUUAUGACGUCAUGUGCAAUGAAUAACAUUAAUAAACAUUAUGAAUCUCAUUAACACUACAUGAUCUACAUGAUCUACAUAAAAUGUUGGCAAUGAAUAAAAUUAAUCUUAUCAGUGCCUGACCCAGGCCUUAACUGCCCAGAGUAUAGCAUCCUUAUAUACUCAGUAGCCACUACUACUAGCCAGUCUAGCCACCACGUGGACCAUGACCUACUCUCCAAAACUAGAGGCAAGAAAGAUAAAGAAGAAGGAUAAAGAAGGACCACGUGUGUUCCAAAGUGUAAAGGUCAACUAUUAGCAUUACUCAUGUUCCUUUCUACUAAAAUUUGGUAAAAAUAGCCAAUAUUUUUUACCUAUUAGUUACUCAAAGCAUAAUUGGGCAAGGCCUAGUCAAGAGAGAGAAAUCGCCAUCACAACUCGAGGCUCAUACAAGGAGCACUGAUCUUACAUCAAACAAGCAUCUGGAAGCAAGUAGACCUGUGUAUACUGUGUUUUGCAAGCAUUAUGCACAGUAAAUGGGCGUUGUCUAUAGGGCGUAUAAAAGAAGAGAGGGCCUAUAUGAGCAGAGUUCAAACGUGGGCACCGUGGGCGGAUAAAUGUGCAUGACUGUGCUAAAAAUUUCUAUUUUUAGCACAUUCCUCACAUUCCUCCGCCCACGUUUAAACUCUGCUAGCUAUGUGUACGCCCUCUCUUCUUUUAUACGCCCUGUCUAUUCAGCUAACUUAGUUAGCUAAGCUGUUAGUGCAUGCAGUACUCUGUUGACUUGCUGACUUGCUAUACUUCUGUUGAUUGAGCCAGUAGGCAGUUGUUUUAGUUAUAGAAGUGCACUAAAAGAGCAGGUAGAAAUUAGAGGACAUAAAGAGUUAACACAUUCCUGAUUAGAUCUAGUACGUAACCACAGUACGUAGUACUAUAGACAACGCCCAUUUACUGUGCACUAUGCAAGCAACUUGCAAAACACAGUAUACAUGUACCAGGCUAGCUGUCAGUUAAACCAUAGAUAGAGUAGAAGAGGGAUCGUCCGUGUAUCUCCGUGGUUUUAAUCGAGGCUUACUUUGUAACACGAGGGCUAAACAUGAAUAAUUCAUGAGAAUCUCUGUAAGAAGUGUUCUGCUGCUAAACAUCAACUUUCUCUAAUACUUGAGGCCAUUUGGGACACAGGACACUAUUUAGUUACAAAGCCUUAGCUAUAUCAAAGGCGCUCUGUGUACCUCUAGCUACUUCACGACAAUCGAGAUUAUAUUUUCUUUGUUUCCAAUUGAUACCUACUAUCAGGGGGCAUGUGAUUCAGUAAUGGGGGUAUGUAUGCUUUGGACACAAUAUGCUUUGGACACAAUAAGUUUCCCGGGCUUUUGCGGGAGUUAUGAGGAGAUCACGGAUGUGAGGAGAUCACGGAUGGUCCAGAGCCACUACGUAGACUUCAUUGUAAAACAUCACGUGAAUCACUUCCGUUCGUUUCCAAUCCCUCUUCUACUCUAUCUAUGGUUAAACAGAGGGGCGGUGUUGUACAUGUUUGUGGGUGUUUCUAGAGUAAGCCUGUGGCAAUUAGUGGUCAUUUUACUAGGCUCACCAGGUGGAUUGUAAACCAGACUAUAGUAGGUAUAAUUUUUGAGUUUUGCAGACCUCAAAAAGGAGGCCUGCUACUGACUGUUUGCGCAUGCGCCAAAUUAUUGGAUUAAUGUUUCCCGUUAAACUGAAUUUUUACCCGAAUUAUAUCCUGAAUAACAUAAUUAUACAGACAAAGAAUACUCUUCAUAAAGUCAGACACAGAGCUAUAUAGAUAGCUAGCUAGAGACAGAGCUGUAUUGGUUACAGCAGCAAUUUCUUUCUGAUAGAGUCGACUUCUUCUCUUCUCACAUGACUUACUCAAACCUUCCUAUAAUAAGAGGUUUGAUUUGGCUUUGGCUCCGAAGACAAAUUCAUUAUUACAUGCACACCUAUACCUCAUUGCUCCUCAAAAUAAGUUAAAAAAGCUACUAACAGUGUACCUAGCUCAGCCAAGCCUAGCUAUAGAGUGUUAUGCACAUAGCUACGUGCAUAACAUAUAUAAUUAUAUAGAUGCUCUACUGGAUUUUGCUACUGAGAUAUAAUUAUUCAACCCCAGAUCACAGUGUCUUACUUUUAUAGUACCUAGGAUACACUAGUACCUAGGAUACACACAUGACAAGGGUAUGGUAAAAGUGUACUAGAAUAGGCAUUAGCUAUAAACUUCACUUACCCUGAAAGUCUUCCUUAAAACUUCAGUAGUCAGCAUUUCCGGGUCCACAUCAAUAACAAGAGCGCCUCGUUUUAGACUUAGUAUAUUUCCAGACAUUGUUAUGCACACGUACACACCAGAACUGAAGACAGCCAGAACUAGCCAGAACUUAACUUAAUACACGUGGUCACAAAAGCGCAUGCGUGUAAUAGGCUGGAAAUGAAAAGGAAAUGAGUGGGCGUAAGCAGCAAAUUCACAGGCUAGAGCUAGAGCUAGCUAGAGGGAGAGUCUAAGCUCUGCAGUAUCAGAUCUUUAUACCAAUAAGUAGGCCCUAUAGUUGUAUAAUUGUAUUGUUCUAUACUGUACUUCAAUGUUACAGCAUCAUACAUCGUACUUCGUAUGUUUGGUAUAAUUAUUUGUAUUAUUGUAAGACUUUUACAGAGGCACUAUGCAUUUAUAACUGAUAUAAUUAUGUCCCUGGCUGAUUGAUUGCUAUGCAUCCAGCUUGCAUGACUACCACAUAGCAACACUAUUUAAACAAUAAUAAUUGAAGACAACUAGGAAAAGAUAGCACACCAGGGCUCCUGUCCACACUCAAAGCUAUAGGCAAACGUACAGAGCCUCAAUUAGUCAGCCUACUGCAGCAACCAGCGCAGCCACACGAAAUAAGACAGUGUCUAGACCAGCUCUCUUCGGCUAUGCCAGGAUAUAGUAGGCAAGCAAAGGUAAGCUACAAAAAUAGCCACGCCUCUGUCCUAAACAGGCCUAGUGCAGUGAGCAACGGGCUGGGCCUGCCCUAGCCCUAGUCAGAGUGUCUCUAAAGCAGAUCGCAGUGUUUAUAGUAAAUAGCGGAGCAACAUGACAAGGGUAUGGUGUAUUAAAGAAGUGUAACCAAUGCAUUAAAACAAAGACAUACAUCCUUCUCAUCGCUCAUCGCAUAUACGUACUCACUAACGCUUUGCUGCACUACAUACGAAAGUUAAUCAGAUAUGUUUUGCAUAAUCGAUGGCAUAUCCCAUUAUUUUAUACCAGGUCAAACUGCUAGUAUCACGAAUAGAGUCAGCUAGUUGCAAAGCAUGGAACUGGAGGAGCAGCUAAUGGACAACUCACUAGAUGUAGAUGACGACGAUAGUUUCUUCCCCAUGCACUAUUACAAAGAAGUCCAGAGGUGCAUACUAAGGGGUGCAUGGUGCAUGGAAAGAGAGGAGUUCUUACAGGUAUGUGUGAAUGUAUACAUACUACUUAACACAUGACACAUGGAUGUUAUAGAGCACUUUCUAAACCGCAAAAUGUUAAAAUGUUACGCAUCCAUCUUGAGUGGCAAAUACACGUAGCUGAGUGGUGUUUUAUGAUGAAUUGACGGUUUUGUUCCCAGGGAACUUUAGAAAUUUGAAUAAUUCUUUACACGUACUGUACAACAAUUACGCCUUGGGAGCACUUCUUACUGCAGUAUAGUAGUAUACUAUGAUUUACCUAUUCAUCACUUAUAGAGGUUGGUUUCAUCAUCAUCAUGCUCCAAUUGAAACCUCAUACGUAGAUCUGCUAAUUAAAUAACAUAAUACAUAAAACUACCCACCAUUCUAUACGGUAAUUCUAUAUACCGUAUGGUGCGAAUUUAAAUAUUUCUAUUUCGUUGAAUAAAUGUUGUGGGUUAACUGCUCAACGGACAUAGAUUCUACUCUGUGCGGUAGGUCUUCAAUGGCUUGAAGGUCAUCGUCAAACCUAAAGAUGGACAAUUUAAUAUUACAUACCAAACAACUUCUGUCGCACAUUCAUCUCUGAAAAAUAUACGAUUGUACAAGUCGCUGAAUAAAUCAAGAAUACAUAAACCUUAAGUUAGAUAAAGACUUACGACAUAGUACUGUGUUAACCUGUGAGCCUGACCAUGCAUGCGAAAAAUAAAUUACACCAAGCGAUAGCUGCUUACAUAAAGUUGCUUUGAAUAGCAGGUACAACGUAUAGUGUAUACACUUAGCAUAUGAAAAGAGAGGUUCUGGGAUUGGUUGACAGUUGAUGUAAAACAAAAUGGCUACAAAUACUGGAAUCACUGCUAGAUUCUCAACCUAAUACUAUAAAUUACAUGGAUAUGAAACGCCUCCGUAAACGGACGUUUGGGCUGGGAUGAUGAUUGCCUCGGAUGCUAUAUAGUAUACGAUUAUUCCAAAUAAAAAUGGCUACUGAAAGUGUGUCUCUAGUUGUUCCAGCUCUGAGAGCGUCUCAGAUGACUUUUGAACAUUUCUGACUGAGAAUGAUGAUGAUGGAGGCUGACAAUAACAAGGAGUUAACAAGGAGGCACUUUACAUGUGCAUUCUGGGAUUCAAUAUAGCACAAAAUAACAAAAACUAUAUGUCUAGAUAGAUUGGACUAUAUAAAUGAAUGAAUGAACGAUAAUGCUAAUAGCUGAUGUGGACUUUGACAUGGACAUGUGAACAUCAUACUCUCGUGUUGUUCUUUCACCAGUCAAUGAAUAGUUCUUUCUUCUUUCUUCUCGCGAGGCAUUGUCUGAGGUGUAGUCUGGUUGCAAAACAUAAGCAAACAGUCAAGUAUGGUGUAAUUAUACAAACCAAUAAUAAUUAAGCAAUAAUCUAAAAAUAUCAAGAGAGCGUGAAUUUUUAGUACAUUUGAACUUGAUUUUUAGCCAAACUAAGACAUGUGCAUCAAUAAAAAUUAGUGGACCUGGUGAACACGCCCUUACUCUACGCAAUAAACUUAGUACAGACAUUCCAUAAAUGUGGUUCAUGAAAUCAACUGACACAAAGAAUGACACAAAGAAGGGCACUUGAAAACACCUUCAACUGUUUGUAACCAGAUAGUUAAGUAUACACAAGGAAGAGGACCCAGUAACUUAUGGAACGCCGUUUGCGACAAAAUUCAGGCAGAAUGUGAUAGGCGUGUACAUCCAAUCGAUUUUUGAAGAUCGAUUUUUAAUGAUCGAUUUUUUACAGUUGAUUUUCGAUUUACACGUUGAACGAUCUUUGACAAUCUGAUAGUAGAUUUUUGAUAAUGAAAUUUGAUUUUUGAUAAUCGAUUUUAGAACUGCUCUAAAGGGGGGUGGGGGGGGGGCCUGUCUAGCUGUAUCACAUGAGAAGAAGCCACUAUUCAUGACUUCUAUUCUAUCUGGAAUAACCAAACUCUUUCUCAGCUACAAGAUGGCCAAAUAAAACAGUAUACUGGCGAGAAAAGGUGCAUGAAGGAACUAAAUAAAAUAGCACCAACUGAACAGUUCUAAAAUUAAUGAUUUUUACUGUGACUUAUGGCCAAAAAACAAUGAUGUUUAGCUUUUGCGUUAUAGAUCUAUUAUGUGAGAUAGCUAACCAAGAGCUUCAUUCCAGGCCGCGGUGAAGGCCGCGGAGAAGGAGUUUGUGCAUGUUCUAAGUUUCAAGGGCGGCCUAACUGUAGCCUUGAAUCCAUUUUAAUCAGCCUGGAUUCGAGGCUAGUAUCAAGCAAUUGAUGAUUUUUGUAAUCGAUUUUCAAAAAUCGAUUAUCGAAAAUCGAAUUUCAAAAAUCUAUUAUCAGAUCAACUCAUAGUCCAUCUGUAUAGUCCAUCUGUAUUUUAAAUGACAAAAAUCUGCGCAUAAUAAUUAUUAAACAAUCUGCUGUUUUUCAUGUUUCAAAUGUUGCACGGUAAUCCAAUUCAAAAAUCUGCGCAUAAUAAAUGUUAAACAAUCUAGAUUCAGCUGUUUUUCAUGUUUCAAAUGUUAGCACAGCAUGUUUCAAAUUUCAUGUUUCAAAUAGUGAAGCACAGUAUUAAAUCUAUUAUAUAGCCUCGAUCCCAACCCUUCUCUUAGAAUCGAGGCUAGCUAUUACCUAUGUCAGGAGUGCAUGAAUACACUCCUGCCUAUGUCUGUUGUGCACAUGCGCGCAAUAAUUUGAAAUUAUUGCACAUGCAUUAUUGCGCAUGUGCACAACACUAAAUGGCGUAAUAGCUCAGAUGGAACACAUGCAGAGACUCUCUGAGGACAUAGGCACGCCUGCAGUAGGUCAAAGCACCUCAUGUGGAUGGGAGCUCAAGAGGUCAUGCAGGCACACUUGCAGCAGCAGUUGACUUUGCCAAAAAGGUUGUUUUUCAUCAGUCAACAAUAAAUUAUUGGGUCCAGCAAGGGUCCAGCAAGAGCUCUUGUGUGAUAAUCUUGCUCGUUCUGUUAGGCUGUGCUUCCCUUAAUUUGAUCCAUUGUUUUAUUUUGGGCAAAAUUAUUGUUAAGAAGCUGAAGGUUCACUAUAAUUAUUUUGAUGGUCAAAACAUACAUGAUUGCAUUCCAAAGUCACUUACAUAAUUAUUAUACAUAAUUAUAUAAGUGCAGGUAUUAUACCAUCACUCUAAUAAGUCAUACAUACCACAAUGCGUGUACAAAAAGAACACAGACGACAGUAAAAUAAUUCUACAAUAAAUGUCCUGAGAGACAUGUACCAUAGCCUGCACAGAAUUUGCGAAGGGUGCGUACACACCAUUAACGGUGUAGUUAAACAAAUAUUCUGGAGAUGGUAGGUUCCUCUCCAUUUCCACUUGACGUUGAAUACACAAUUCAGGAGCGUCAAUUAACGGGUCAAUUCCAAAUGUAGAUACUUCUGUUAAAUGACCACCAGCAGCUUCAGCUUCAAAAGAGGCAUAGGCAUCUUGCACAGAUGGUAAUAAAUUAUCUGGUAUUCUCGCAGCACACAUAUUUGGUACGCCACGUGUAGGCCCUGCAUAAUAAUUAUGAUUACAAUUUGUAUCUUUUCAUGUACUUGAGGUGUAUAUAUACCAGGAAUACGAUGAUGGUUCCAAGCGCCAACCUGACACAACUUUCCGCUCAUCAAACUUUCCGCUCAUCAUUGACACAAAACUUAGUUGUUGGGCAAUCCAUGUCUAUGAAGUUGUUUUGUUCCAUUAAGCUCUCUUAAUGGGAAAGUUUACUCUACUAUUAACUUCCACCCAGUGGCGUUCAGCAAGAUGGUUCUAAUGAAACAGGAUCAGGUAUGAUAUGAACUACUGAUUCAAGAUGUACACAUUUACAACAAACCUGAGUUGACUUCGUCUGUCUGUAAGGUUCGUGUUUGUACGAUAAGAAGACAGCAUCCUUUGAACAUAAAGAAUUAGAGCGAACUCCCAUCCACAAUCAACUUGAAGUUGGUCCCAUAGUCCAAAGAAGCUCACUAUAGGCCUGCAUGCAUGGAAGACGACACACCUAAAACAUUUACAUAAUUUGACUGAAACAGUCUAUACAAAGGGAUUAUGUAUAUAGUAUCCCAACAAAGAACAAACACAGAACAAACACAGCUCACCUAAAUCUUCACAGGCAUGGACACAAUACCAAGUAGUUUUCCACUAUAGCCAUCAGAAGCUGCCACAUGCGUCACUCCAAAGCGAAUUAGCUUCUAUGUGCAUUUUAUGCCUAAAAUAUUCUGCAUAGUAGGGAACAGGGUUCAUUUGUUGAUAUGUUCUUUGUUGCCUUUGUUCCAAGUAGGCUGGGAUUGUUUGUGAUAGGGCAUGGCGAACUCUCUGUUCACCUACUAUGAUGCCUCCAGACCUUAAAAGACCAUUAAGUGUUCGACGCAGGGCCUACCUAUGAAAAGAUUACAGACGUACGUGGUAUACAUUAUUGGUAUACAUUAUGGGAUACUUUCGGUGAAGUGGUUCUUGUGAGUUCUUGUGAGCAGGAAUUUUCUAACUUCUGGAGCACUCAGCCUGCUUGCAUAGUGGAUUCCCUUUAAGGAACAAAAUCUUCUUACACUUCUUACACUAUCUGUUACAGAUAGACCUCUGUUGUAGAUCAGAGGCAAUUUCCUUAUGUGUUGCCUUAUUUUUCACCCUUUCCUUGAUGUAGUCCACACAGUUAAGUGAUUCAAUACCGGACAUUUUCCCACUUGAAAAGAGAAGUAGAAAACAUCACGUGCGUGGACAAUGGACAAUGGAAUGUCAAUUAGAGACCACACCCCACACCCACACUACUUUUCCAUUGUCCACGCAAUCACGUUGUCGUAUUUCCUCUGUAGCUUCAUCAUGUGCUAAAACCGCGUGCUUGCACGUACUUCUGGCAGUGCAGUAGUAUCUGGUGCAGUAUAGUUUAGUCUUACACUGUCUUACACUGCACUAUCUCCGUGCACUAUCUCCGCUAGUUUUAGCAUCACUCAGAUAAGCUAGCCAUGGAUCUAGACUCUAGAUCUAGACUAGAGCGUGUAGAAAUCUACCGAGAGCAACAAUCCCUAAUGCUAAAGAAGUGCGAUGUAACUGUGUCAAGAUUGUCCAGUGUUUUUAAGGUGCGUAUUUUAAAAUGUAUGUAUAGCUAAGUCUUUAUCUAUGCAUAAGCUAAGUAGGCUAGGUAAUACUUCAUGUAAUAAUGUUACUGCAUAAAAGUGUUAAAAUGAAUGCAGGUUAAUCCUGAAACUCUUUAUCUUGAAGAAGACAUCACAAAUCAUGUGGAAUUCCCCGUAGAUGGCCUAUUUACUUUUGGUGACUUUCCACUUGGUGGUAGGUUCAGAGUAAGUGGAGACACAGCCAUCCCUGUAACUCAUGCUCAAAACGAGAAUUGGCCAAGUUUCCAAGUACCAUUGGGAUUCCAAUCAUCCUGGUCAGUGCCACGACCAUGGCUGGACAAUCUACAUCGAAGGGGCAGGGAAAGCCAUUUCAGCCCAAGUCUUACGAACCCUGCUUAAAAAAGACUAUCUCCCUUUGUCUGGACAAUGCGGGGAAGACUAUUAUGAGUGAUGCAAUCAUUUCCAACCUUUUCAUCAAGAUUCCUGAUAUUUCAGUGUCGAUCCUCUCUGAAGCUGGAACAAAGAUAGGCUGUGAUCCAAAUGAACUCAUUCUUCUUGAUGUGAAGUUCUCUGAUGAGAAAGGUAUUCUGAUGAGAAAGAUAUAGAGUAUUGGAAAGUACCCAGCCGAAAAUUCCAUGUUGCUGUGAGAGCUGAUUAAGAGUUAGUAAAAGUUCGUUCAAGAAACCGACUAAGCUUGGGAAAGCGCAAAGGUCACGUCCAGUACGAAGAAAUGUUGGAUGAUGAAACAGGGAGUGCAUGUGGGAUUGGAGAAAACAUUUUGGAGAUGAAGGCGACUAUACAAAUCAAAGAAGAAGACCGGAAGAUACGACAUGAAAUUGUGCAUUCCUUUGAGUGUAAAAUCUGCAAAGAUGUGCCGACUGAUCCAAUCUUGAUGAUGUGUUGCA